rnacentral:rRNA from 1 species
UACGAAGGGGGCUAGCGUUGUUCGGAUUUACUGGGCGUAAAGCGCACGUAGGCGGCUCGUUAAGUCGGGGGUGAAAUCCUGGAGCUCAACUCCAGAACUGCCUCCGAUACUGGCGAUCUUGAGUCCGGAAGAGGUGAGUGGAAUUCCUAGUGUAGAGGUGGAAUUCGUAGAUAUUAGGAAGAACACCAGUGGCGAAGGCGGCUCACUGGUCCGGUACUGACGCUGAGGUGCGAAAGCGUGGGGAGCAAACAGG